AGUGAACGCUGGCGGUAGGCCUAACACAUGCAAGUCGAACGGCAGCACAGUAAGAGCUUGCUCUUACGGGUGGCGAGUGGCGGACGGGUGAGGAAUACAUCGGAAUCUACUUUUUCGUGGGGGAUAACGUAGGGAAACUUAUGCUAAUACCGCAUACGACCUACGGGUGAAAGCAGGGGAUCUUCGGACCUUGCGCGAUUGAAUGAGCCGAUGUCGGAUUAGCUAGUUGGCGGGGUAAAGGCCCACCAAGGCGACGAACCGUAGCUGGUCUGAGAGGAUGAUCAGCCACACUGGAACUGAGACACGGUCCAGACUCCUACGGGAGGCAGCAGUGGGGAAUAUUGGACAAUGGGCGCAAGCCUGAUCCAGCCAUACCGCGUGGGUGAAGAAGGCCUUCGGGUUGUAAAGCCCUUUUGUUGGGAAAGAAAAGCAGCAGGUUAAUACCCCGCUGUUCUGACGGUACCCAAAGAAUAAGCACCGGCUAACUUCGUG
rnacentral:rRNA from 1 species